GGGCUAGUGGCGUAGUGGUUAUCGCGUCUGUCUUACACGAAUCUGAUUGCUUACGUAAUCAUUACGUAAGCAUAGUGUCACAGAAGGUCCUCAGUUCGAACCUGGGCUAACUCA